GGCCUCCUGGUGCUUACCAUAAUCUAUGUUCCUACACUGACUGUAUAGAAAUAGGAGGCAGAGUAAACCUUUCCUAUAUGCAACUCAGUCCAGACCCUGUGCCUGAUCUGUACUGUGAAUGUAGGGACAUGG
rnacentral:snoRNA from 1 species